rnacentral:rRNA from 1 species
UACAGAGGUCCCAAGCGUUGUUCGGAUUCACUGGGCGUAAAGGGUGCGUAGGUGGCGAGGUAAGUCGGAUGUGAAAGCUCGGAGCUCAACUCCGAAAUGGCAUUGGAAACUACCUUGCUCGAGGGUUGGAGGGGGGACUGGAAUUCAUGGUGUAGCAGUGAAAUGCGUAGAUAUCAUGAGGAACACCAGAGGCGAAGGCGGCUACCUGGACAGUUACUGACGCUCAGGCACGAAAGCGUGGGGAGCAAAAGGG